AUCAAAGUUUGAUUCUUGCUUUCUAUAUACUUUAGUAAUAAAGAACAUAUUUAAAUCUUUGUAGGACAAAAGACUAUUUGUUUAAAUAUCUAAUAGUGUAAAAAAUUUAAAAUAAUAAAUAAAGUCGAAGUGUGAGAUAUUAAUAUUAUGAUUGAAAAAUUGAAUUAGUAAUUAUUUUUAGCUCUGACUAAAAAUUUGUGCCAGCAGUCGCGGUUAUACUUAGAGAGUGAGUAUAUAAGUGUUGAUUAUUAGUUAAGUUAAUAUAUUUAAAAUUUUCUUAUCUGAGUUAAUAAAAGGUGAAAUUAGUUUAUUAAAUAUUAGUUAAAAAAGUUUUUAUUAUAUGCUGAGGCUAUUUAAUUUAUGGGAUAAACUAGGAUUAGAUACCCUAUUAUACAUAAGUUUAAUAAUAAAAUAUCAGAUUAUUUUUAGUUAUGUUCUUAAAAAUCAAAGAACUUGGCGGUACUUUAGUCUUGUUAGAGGAACCUGUUUUAUAAGUGAUAAUCCACGUAGUAUCUUGCUUAAUCUUGUUUGUCAGUAUGUAUACCGUCAUUAUUAGAUAAUUCUUAUAGGAAUGAAUUAUUAAAAUAAUUUAAAUAAUUAAGAUAUUAGAUCAAGGUGCAGCUAAUGGUUAAGUAAAAAUGGGUUACAAUAAUUUAUAAUUAUAUGGAUUAAUUGUUGAAUAAUAGUUAUGAAGGUGGAUUUAAUUGUAAUUUUUAUUUUAAUAAGGAGAAGUGAUAAUAGCUCUAGAUUAUGUACAUAUCGCCCGUCGCUUUCACUACAAGGUGAAAUAAGUCGUAACAUAGUAGGUGUACUGGAAAGUGUACCUAGA
rnacentral:ncRNA from 1 species